GGGGAUGUGGCGGAAUUGGCAGACGCGCUGGAUUUAGGUUCCAGUGGGGCAACCCGUGCAGGUUCAACUCCUGUCAUCCCUA
rnacentral:tRNA from 1 species